rnacentral:rRNA from 1 species
GUGCCAGCCGCCGCGGUAAUACGUAGGGGGCUAGCGUUGUCCGGAUUUAUUGGGCGUAAAGAGCGUGUAGGCGGCCAGGUAGGUCUGCUGUGAAAACUCGAGGCUCAACCUCGAGACGUCGGCGGAAACCAUCUGGCUAGAGUCCGGAAGAGGAGAGUGGAAUUCCUGGUGUAGCGGUGAAAUGCGCAGAUAUCAGGAAGAACACCCGUGGCGAAGGCGGCUCUCUGGGACGGUACUGACGCUGAGACGCGAAAGCGUGGGGAGCGAACAGGAUUAGAAACCCUCGUAGUCC